GGAAAAUUGGGCGUCUGGACAACAUUGUUGAUGGUAAUAAUGGUAGUACAACCCUCGUCCGUUAAACUAGACAACAUAUUCCACAAAGCAGGCAGUAUAAGAAGAAUCUGAUAGUGAGCUCAAUCAAAAAGGGGGUUUUCAGGAAGGGAAGGGGAAAGUUAUGCAGAAGAAGAACUAAGUACCCGAAUUCUUAGAUUUUGGUCAAUCACCAAACAAAUAACACGCAAAAUCGUCGAUGCAGGUUGAAGAAGUUACAGAAUCUGAGCAGCCGUAUUCAACUUUUCAGCCAAACUCAGUUGUGUCCGGGUGAUACUUGACAAAUACAGCAACAGCAAAUGGUCCUGCACGUUGUCAUUCAUCAGCUUAUCAAAAGCAGCUGGCGACAGUUUU
rnacentral:misc_RNA from 1 species